AUCCAGCUGAUGAGUCCCAAAUAAGACGAAAGGCGCAUCCUGGAU
rfam:Schistosoma haematobium scaffold15_42, whole genome shotgun sequence.